rnacentral:rRNA from 1 species
GCCAGACUCCUACGGGAGGCAGCAGUGGGGGAUAUUGCACAAUGGGGGGAACCCUGAUGCAGCGACGCCGCGUGGGUGAAGGAGCGUUUCGGCGCGUAAAGCCCUAUCGGCAGGGAAGAAGGAGGACGGUACCUGACUAAGAAGCCCCGGCUAACUACGUGCCAGCAGCCGCGGUAAUACGUAGGGGGCAAGCGUUAUCCGGAUUUACUGGGUGUAAAGGGGGCGCAGACGGCAGCGCAAGCCAGGAGUGAAAGCCCGGGGCCCAACCCCGGGACUGCUCUUGGAACUGCGCGGCUGGAGUGCAGGAGGGGCAGGCGGAAUUCCUGGUGUAGCGGUGAAAUGCGUAGAUAUUAGGAGGAACACCAGUGGCGAAGGCGGCCUGCUGGACGACAACUGACGGUGAGGCGCGAAAGCGUGGGGAGCAAACAGGAUUAGAUACCCGAGUA